AGCGCGUUAACUAAAUGGUAUAGUGUUGUGCUACGGACACAAUAGUUGCAAGUUCAAAUCUUGUACGCGUUU